GGAGGCUUUGUGCACAAAUAGUCACGUUACCUAAACCUGGUAAAACACCUAAUGUCUGUUCAAAUUUUUGUCCCAUUUCAUUAAUUAAUAAUGACACAAAGAUUUAUUCAAAAAUGUUAGCAAAUAGACUUCUUCCUUCCCUAACUGACAAAGACCAGGUUGGUUUCAUUAUAAACUGUCAGGCUCCUGAUGGCACCAGGCGUUUCAUCAAUUUGAUUAAUCAUCUUAAAUCUACU